rnacentral:ncRNA from 2 species
GACUCAUCCAGAGUGGCUGAGGGACUGGCCCUACGAAGCCACGGCAACCCCGCCCAAGGCGGGGUGCCAACUCCUCCCCCUCCUCCCGCCCUGCGGGAUGAGCGGGAAAGAUGAGAA